rnacentral:rRNA from 1 species
GAUGAACGCUGACAGCAUGCUUAACACAUGCAAGUCAACUUGAAUUUGGGUUUUUAACUUCGGUUUGGGUGGCGGACGGGUGAGUAACGCGUAAAGAACUUGCCUCACAGCUAGGGACAACAUUUGGAAACGAAUACUAAUACCUAAUAUUAUGAUAAUAGGGCAUCCUAUAAUUAUGGAAGCUAUAAGCGCUGUGAGAGAGCUUUGCGUCCCAUUAGCUAGUUGGAGAGGUAACGGCUCACCAAGGCGAUGAUGGGUAGCCGGCCUGAGAGGGUGAUCGGCCACAAGGGGACUGAGACACGGCCCUUACUCCUACGGGAGGCAGCAGUGGGGAAUAUUGGACAAUGGACCAAGAGUCUGAUCCAGCAAUUCUGUGUGCACGAUGAAGUUUUUCGGAAUGUAAAGUGCUUUCAGUUGGGAAGAAAGAAAUGACGGUACCAACAGAAGAAGUGACGGCUAAAUACGUG